UAGAGUCUUCCCCUUCGGGGGACAAAGUGACAGGUGGUGCAUGGUUGUCGUCAGCUCGUGUCGUGAGAUGUUGGGUUAAGUCCCGCAACGAGCGCAACCCUUAAGCUUAGUUGCCAGCAUUAAGUUGGGCACUCUAAGUUGACUGCCGGUGACAAACCGGAGGAAGGUGGGGAUGACGUCAAAUCAUCAUGCCCCUUGUGAUUUGGGCUACACACGUGCUACAAUGGACAAUGCAAAGGGCAGCUAAACCGCGAGGUCAUGCAAAUCCCAUAAAGUUGUUCUCAGUUCGGAUUGUAGUCUGCAACUCGACUACAUGAAGCUGGAAUCGCUAGUAAUCGUAGAUCAGCAUGCUACGGUGAAUACGUUCCCGGGUCUUGUACACACCGCCCGUCACACCACGAGAGUCUGUAACACCCGAAGCCGGUGGAGUAACCAUUUAUGGAGCUAGCCGUCGAAGGUGGGACAAAUGAUUGGGGUGAAGUCGUAACAAGGUAGCCGUAUCGGAAGGU
rnacentral:rRNA from 1 species